rnacentral:lncRNA from 1 species
UCACCCAUUGCUUCCGCACCUUAUUUUCUACUUUGAUUCAAGAAGAACACAUGAAAAUGCCAUCAUUUGGUAUCAGAGCUUUUGGUUCUUCAAGAUGAGUAGCUUGGUCUUUUAAAUUUUCAGUUCUUCUUUAUUUCAUAUUGUCAUUUAAAUUCCAUACUUGUCUUGCUGUUUUUUUACUUUUUAAAUUGUUCUUGGUGUGCUUAUGGAAGAUCCAACCGAAGCACAAUUGUUCAAUUGAUCUUGAACAAAUUCUGUGCAGCUUGUGAUAGGAUUCCUUACACCAUUGAGUGGCUGUUUUCUUUUAGGAAUUUGAGUCCUUAUUGCUUUCUUAAUUUUGCUUCAUUUUAUGCUUUGAGUCUUU